rnacentral:rRNA from 1 species
GUGGGGAAUAUUGCGCAAUGGGGGCAACCCUGACGCAGCAAUACCGCGUGAGUGAAGAUGGUUUUCGGAUCGUAAAACUCUUUUAUUGGGGAAGAAGAAGUGACGGUACCCAAUGAAGAAGUCCCGGCUAACUACAUGCCAGCAGCCGCGGUAAUACGUAGGGGACAAGCGUUGUCCGGAAUCACUGGGCGUAAAGGGCGCGUAGGCGGUUUUAUAAGUCAGAUGUGAAAGGUACCGGCUCAACCGGUGACGUGCAUUUGAAACUGUAAGACUUGAGUACUGGAGAGGCAAGUGGAAUUCCUAGUGUAGCGGUGAAAUGCGUAGAUAUUAGGAGGAACACCGGUGGCGAAGGCGGCUUACUGGACUGUAACUGACGUUGAGGCUCGAAAGCGUGGGGAGCAAACAGGAUUAGAUACCCCAGUAGUCC